rnacentral:rRNA from 1 species
AUACGAAGGUGGCUAGCGUUGUUCGAAAUUACUGGGCGUAAAGCGCGCGUAGGCGGACUGAUCAGUUGGGGGUGAAACCCCAGGGCUUAACCCUGGAACUGCCUCCAAUACUGUCAGUCUUGAGUUCGGGAGAGGUGAGUGGAAUUCCUAGUGUAGAGGUGAAAUUCGUAGAUAUUAGGAAGAACACCAGUGGCGAAGGCGGCUCACUGGCCCGAUACUGACGCUGAGGCGCGAAAGCGUGGGGAGCAAACAGGAUUAGAUACCCUAGUAGUCC